rnacentral:rRNA from 1 species
GAUCGCCGGCUUUUCUGAAGUGUAAAAAGCUUCAGGUAAUAAGAGCCGGGUAAGACUGGUGCCAGCCGCCGCGGUAACACCAGCGGCCCAAGUGGUGGCCGAUUUUAUUGGGCUAAAGCGUCCGUAGCCGGACCGACGGGUCCUUUGUGAAAUCGGACGGCUUAACCGUUCGACUUGCAAGGGAAACUGUCGGCCUUGGGGUCGGUAGGCGCCGAGGGUACUCCAGGGGUAGCGGUGAAAUGCUAUAAUCCCCGGGGGACCGCCGGUGGCGAAAGCGCUCGGCGAGGCCGAACCUGACGGUGAGGGACGAAGGCCAGGGGAGCAAACCGGAUUAGAUACCCGGGUAGUCCUGGCUGUAAAGGAUGUGGGCCAGGUGCCGGAUGUUCCUCGAGAGCAUUCGGUGCCGAAGGGAAGCCGUUAAGCCCACCGCCUGGGAAGUACGGCCGCAAGGCUGAAACUUAAAGAAAUUGGCGGGGGAGCACCACAAGGGGUGGAGCCUGCGGUUUAAUUGGAUUCAACGCCGGACAACUCACCGGGGGCGACGGCAGAGUGAAGGCCAAGUUGACGACUUUGCCGGACUCGCCGAGAGGUGGUGCAUGGCCGCCGUCAGCUCGUAUCGUGAGACGUCCUGUCAAGUCAGGUAACGAGCGAGACCCUCGCCCUUAGUUGCCAUCGGAUUCCAUUUGGAAUGCCGGGCACUCUAGGGGGACCGCUGCCGACAAGGCAGAGGAGGGAGAGGGCGACGGUAGGUCCGUAUGCCCCGAAUCCCCCGGGCAACACGCGGGCUACAAUGCGUAGGGCAGAGGGCUUGCGACCCCGAAAGGGGAAGCUAAUCCCUAAACCUACGCCUAGUUCGGAUCGAGGGCUGCAACCCGCCCUCGUGAAGCUGGAAUCCCUAGUAAUCGCGUGUCAUUAUCGCGCGGUGAAUGCGUCCCUGCUCCUUGCACACACCGCCCGUCAAGCCAUCCGAGUGGGAUUUGGAUGAGGCUCGCUCAUCCCGAGUGAGUCAUCC